rnacentral:rRNA from 1 species
GAAUUCGCCCUUAGAGUUUGAUCCUGGCUCAGGAUGAACGCUGGCGGCGUGCUUAACACAUGCAAGUCGAACGGGAAUUACUUUAUUGAAACUUCGGUCGAUUUAAUUUAAUUCUAGUGGCGGACGGGUGAGUAACGCGUGAGGAACCUGCCUCAAAGAGGGGGACAACAGUUGGAAACGACUGCUAAUACCGCAUAAGCCCACGACCCGGCAUCGGGUAGAGGGAAAAGGAGCAAUCCGCUUUGAGAUGGCCUCGCGUCCGAUUAGCUAGUUGGUGAGGUAAUGGCCCACCAAGGCGACGAUCGGUAGCCGGACUGAGAGGUUGAACGGCCACAUUGGGACUGAGACACGGCCCAGACUCCUACGGGAGGCAGCAGUGGGGAAUAUUGCACAAUGGGGGAAACUCUGAUGCAGCGACGCCGCGUGAAGGAAGAAGUAUCUCGGUAUGUAAACUUCUAUCAGCAGGGAAGAUAGUGACGGUACCUGACUAAGAAGCCCCGGCUAACUACGUGCCAGCAGCCGCGGUAAUACGUAGGGGGCAAGCGUUAUCCGGAUUUACUGGGUGUAAAGGGAGCGUAGACGGUGUGGCAAGUCUGAUGUGAAAGGCAUGGGCUCAACCUGUGGACUGCAUUGGAAACUGUCAUACUUGAGUGCCGGAGGGGUAAGCGGAAUUCCUAGUGUAGCGGUGAAAUGCGUAGAUAUUAGGAGGAACACCAGUGGCGAAGGCGGCUUACUGGACGGUAACUGACGCUGAGGCUCGAAAGUGUGGGUAGCAAACAGGAUUAGAUACCCUGGUAGUCCACACUGUAAACGAUGAUUACUAGGUGUUGGAGGAUUGACCCCUUCAGUGCCGCAGUUAACACAAUAAGUAAUCCACCUGGGGAGUACGACCGCAAGGUUGAAACUCAAAGGAAUUGACGGGGGCCCGCACAAGCAGUGGAGUAUGUGGUUUAAUUCGACGCAACGCGAAGAACCUUACCAAGUCUUGACAUCCUGCGACGAUGCUGGAAACAGUAUUUUCCUUCGGGACGCAGAGACAGGUGGUGCAUGGUUGUCGUCAGCUCGUGUCGUGAGAUGUUGGGUUAAGUCCCGCAACGAGCGCAACCCUUAUGGUCAGUUACUACGCAAGAGGACUCUGGCCAGACUGCCGUUGACAAAACGGAGGAAGGUGGGGAUGACGUCAAAUCAUCAUGCCCUUUAUGACUUGGGCUACACACGUACUACAAUGGCGUUAAACAAAGAGAAGCAAGACCGCGAGGUGGAGCAAAACUCAGAAACAACGUCCCAGUUCGGACUGCAGGCUGCAACUCGCCUGCACGAAGUCGGAAUUGCUAGUAAUCGCAGAUCAGCAUGCUGCGGUGAAUACGUUCCCGGGCCUUGCACUCACCGCCCGUCA